UACGUAGGGUGCAAGCGUUGUCCGGAAUUAUUGGGCGUAAAGAGCUCGUAGGCGGUUUGUUGCGUCGGCUGUGAAAACCCGGGGCUCAACCCCGGGCCUGCAGUCGAUACGGGCAGACUAGAGUUCGGCAGGGGAGACUGGAAUUCCUGGUGUAGCGGUGAAAUGCGCAGAUAUCAGGAGGAACACCGGUGGCGAAGGCGGGUCUCUGGGCCGAUACUGACGCUGAGGAGCGAAAGCGUGGGGAGCGAACAGG
rnacentral:rRNA from 1 species